UUGGAUUAUGGCUCAGGAUGAACGCUAGCGGGAGGCCUAACACAUGCAAGCCGAGCGGUAGAAGAUCUUCGGAUCUUUGAGAGCGGCGCACGGGUGCGGAACACGUGUGCAACCUACCUUUAUCAGGGGGAUAGCCUUUCGAAAGGAAGAUUAAUACCCCAUAAUAUAUUUUACGGCAUCGUAAGAUAUUGAAAACUCCGGUGGAUAGAGAUGGGCACGCGCAAGAUUAGAUAGUUGGUGAGGUAACGGCUCACCAAGUCAAUGAUCUUUAGGGGGCCUGAGAGGGUGAUCCCCCACACUGGUACUGAGACACGGACCAGACUCCUACGGGAGGCAGCAGUGAGGAAUAUUGGACAAUGGGUGAGAGCCUGAUCCAGCCAUCCCGCGUGAAGGACGACGGCCCUAUGGGUUGUAAACUUCUUUUGUAUAGGGAUAAACCUACUCUCGUGAGAGUAGCUGAAGGUACUAUACGAAUAAGCACCGGCUAACUCCGUGCCAGCAGCCGCGGUAAUACGGAGGGUGCAAGCGUUAUCCGGAUUUAUUGGGUUUAAAGGGUCCGUAGGCGGACUCGUAAGUCAGUGGUGAAAUCUCAUAGCUUAACUAUGAAACUGCCAUUGAUACUGCGGGUCUUGAGUAAAGUAGAAGUGGCUGGAAUAAGUAGUGUAGCGGUGAAAUGCAUAGAUAUUACUUAGAACACCAAUUGCGAAGGCAGGUCACUAUGUUUAACUGACGCUGAUGGACGAAAGCGUGGGG
rnacentral:rRNA from 1 species